ACGCUCGACACCUACUGGAGGCAGCAGUGGGGAAUAUUGCACAAUGGGGGAAACCCUGAUGCAGCGACGCCGCGUGAAGGAAGAAGUAUUUCGGUAUGUAAACUUCUAUCAGCAGGGAAGAAGAUGACGGUACCUGACUAAGAAGCCCCGGCUAACUACGUGCCAGUAGCCGCGGUAAUCUGAGCGGGCUGGCAAGGC
rnacentral:rRNA from 1 species